rnacentral:rRNA from 1 species
GACGAACGCUGGCGGCGUGCUUAACACAUGCAAGUCGAACGGAAAGGCCCUGCUUUUGUGGGGUGCUCGAGUGGCGAACGGGUGAGUAACACGUGAGUAACCUGCCCUAGACUUUGGGAUAACUUCAGGAAACUGGGGCUAAUACCGGAUAGGAGCUCCUGCUGCAUGGUGGGGGUUGGAAAGUUUCGGCGGUUGGGGAUGGACUCGCGGCUUAUCAGCUUGUUGGUGGGGUAGUGGCUUACCAAGCCUUUGACGGGUAGCCGGCCUGAGAGGGUGACCGGCCACAUUGGGACUGAGGUACGGCCCAGACUCGUACAGGAGGCAACAGUGGGGAACAUUGCACAAUGAGCGGAAGCCUGAUGCAGCAACGCCGCGUGCGGGAUGACGGCCUUCGGGUUAUGAACCGCUUUCGCCUGUGACGAAGCGUGAGUGACGGUAAUGGGUAAAGAAGCACCGGCUAACUACGUG